GGCAGGCGGAAUUCGUGGUGUAGCGGUGAAAUGCUUAGAUAUCACGAAGAACUCCGAUUGCGAAGGCAGCCUGCUAAGCUGCAACUGACAUUGAGGCUCGAAAGUGUGGGUAUCAAACAGGAUUAGAUACCCUGGUAGUCCACACGGUAAACGAUGAAUACUCGCUGUUUGCGAUAUACGGCAAGCGGCCAAGCGAAAGCGUUAAGUAUUCCACCUGAGGAGUACGCCGGCAACGGUGAAACUCAAAGGAAUUGACGGGGGCCCGCACAAGCGGAGGAACAUGUGGUUUAAUUCGAUGAUACGCGAGGAACCUUACCCGGGCUUAAAUUGCAGAUGAAUUACGGUGAAAGCCGUAAGCCGCAAGGCAUCUGUGAAGGUGCUGCAUGGUUGUCGUCAGCUCGUGCCGUGAGGUGUCGGCUUAAGUGCCAUAACGAGCGCAACCCUUGUUGUCAGUUACUAACAGGUUCCGCUGAGGACUCUGACAAGACUGCCAUCGUAAGAUGUGAGGAAGGUGGGGAUGACGUCAAAUCAGCACGGCCCUUACGUCCGGGGCUACACACGUGUUACAAUGGGGGGUACAGAGGGCCGCUACCACGCGAGUGGAUGCCAAUCCCCAAAACCUCUCUCAGUUCGGACUGGAGUCUGCAACCCGACUCCACGAAGCUGGAUUCGCUAGUAAUCGCGCAUCAGCCACGGCGCGGUGAAUACGUUCCCGGGCCUUGUACACACCGCCCGUCAAGCCAUGGGAGCCGGGGGAACCUGAAGUGCGUAACCGCGAGGAGCGCCCUAGGGAA
rnacentral:rRNA from 1 species